rnacentral:rRNA from 1 species
AUGGCCCCGAGCCGGAGACCCAAACCUCCUCCCAACGCCCACCCUGAACCGCCAACCGGAGUCCCGAAAUCGAUCCACUCCGCUGGGCUCAUGCAGGCGGCGCAGCGCAUCCACCGAGUCCGGGCCAACCUACGGCUCCACGGCCCGCCCGCGCCGCCCACGAGGCCGGCCUCCGCGAGCUGGGCCUCCUCGACUUCGUCCGCCUCGACCUCCCCUCCUCCGGCGCCCGCGCCCCGACCUCGUCGCCGAGCUCAUCGCCAACCACAGAUCCGUCAACUUCGAUCUCGAGUCGAGCUCCGUCCGCGGCGCCAGGAUCGAUCUCUCCAUCGGCGCGUUCGCGGAGGCGCUCCGCCUCCCAUGGCCGCCUACUGA